GUACACUCCUGCGGGAGGCAGCAGUGGGGAAUAUUGCACAAUGGGCGCAAGCCUGAUGCAGCCAUGCCGCGUGUAUGAAGAAGGCCUUCGGGUUGUAAAGUACUUUCAGCGGGGAGGAAGGCGAUAAGGUUAAUAACCUUGUCGAUUGACGUUACCCGCAGAAGAAGCACCGGCUAACUCCGUGCCAGCAGCCGCGGUAAUACGGAGGGUGCAAGCGUUAAUCGGAAUUACUGGGCGUAAAGCGCACGCAGGCGGUCUGUCAAGUCGGAUGUGAAAUCCCCGGGCUCAACCUGGGAACUGCAUUCGAAACUGGCAGGCUAGAGUCUUGUAGAUGGGGGUAGAAUUCCAGGUGUAGCGGUGAAAUGCGUAGAGAUCUGGAGGAAUACCGGUGGCGAAGGCGGCCCCCUGGACAAAGACUGACGCUCAGGUGCGAAAGCGUGGGGAGCAAACAGGAUUAGAAACCCCUGUAGUCCCAUG
rnacentral:rRNA from 1 species